CCUACGGGAGGCAGCAGUGAGGAAUCUUGGACAAUGGGGGCAACCCUGAUCCAGCCAUGCCGCGUGAACGAUGAAGGCCUUAGGGUUGUAAAGUUCUUUCAACGGUGAAGAUAAUGACGGUAGCCGUAGAAGAAACCCCGGCUAACUCCGUGCCAGCAGCCGCGGUAAUA
rnacentral:rRNA from 1 species